rnacentral:rRNA from 1 species
GGAAGGUGGGGAUGACGUCAAGUCAUCAUGGCCCUUACGGCCUGGGCUACACACGUGCUACAAUGGUCGGUACAAAAGGGUUGCCAAGCCGCGAGGUGGAGCUAAUCCCAUAAACCGAUCGUAGUCCGGAUCGCAGUCUGCAACUCGACUGCGUGAAGUCGGAAUCGCUAGUAAUCGUGAAUCAGAAUGUCACGGUGAAUACGUUCCCGGGCCUU